rnacentral:antisense_RNA from 1 species
CAGGUGGCGUCGUUCCCGGUGAGGAGUUCCCCGCCGAAGUGGUCUCCGUCGGUGGAGGUGCCGAGAUGGGUUUCCGCGCCGAACUGGCCCUGGCCGUGCCGGGAAACCUUGCCGUGCACGACGAGCACGAGCUGGUCCAGCGCCUGCCCGGCGGUGACGAGCGUGCUCCCCGCCUCGUACUCGCGCUGCUCGAACGCGUCGGCCAGCGCGCCGAGCGCCGCUUCGUCGGAGAACCCGCGCAGCAGCUCGAUUUCCGUCAGCUCGAGCGGGACGACCUGCACCUGCGGCCCGGUCUGGAAGAAGCUCACCUUGCCGUCGCCGACGGUGUAGGUGAGCCGCCGGUUGACCCGGUAGCUGCCGCCGGGCACCUCGACCCACGGCAGCUGCGAAAGCAGCCACCGCGGGGUGAUCGAGCGCAUCUGCGGCCGCGACUUGGUGGUCGUGGCGAGGGUCCGGGCCGCCUUGACGCCGAGG